UCAAGGAGGCAGCCAUUAGUGAUUCGAUGCAGGCCUCCAAGCUUUAGAAAUGAGUUGAUAUCUGGAAGUGCUCCCACAACUGAAGGCUUCACUGCUGUCCUGUAUUCUGUGUUAGGUUUGGUGAUUGCCUGAUCUGUUUCUUGGGAGUUAUUUUUCAUGGCUAAGAGGAGAAAGAUGAUAAAAAAAAAAAACAAUACGCAAAGAAGAUGCCGCAACUUUUAAAGGAAGAAAAGCUCAACUCAGCUGUACUUCUCACCACGUGGCAAAGGAUGGACCAAAGGCUGGGAGCAACUGGGAGUGUCUGGGACUGUGCCCCAAGGAAGCCACACAAACUGUGUAGCCAGACAGUCUGUCUGGGAGGAGAAGGAAGGAAUUUAUCUACCAGCUCCCAUCUCUCAUGGACCAAAUUCUUCCCCACUGUACAUAACUCCAUAUCACUUUCAGAUUGCAUAAGUUGUCUGCUGUUCUUUCGGGAGAGGGCUUGAAGGUUGAUUUUAGUUCCCUGUAACUGGAGGUGACAUGUGAAAGCUCAAAGCUAUUGAAAAGUUGCAAAGGCUUCCACACACAACUGCAGUAGGGAGGGCGCAGGAAGUGGGUCAACGCUUUUGGAGGACUGGGUGAAGUUCAGGAUCCUGAGGCCCUACUUUUUGGUCGCCCAGGGUGAGAGCUGAAUGUAGGCUCCAACAGGAAGACGGCAUUGAAGCCUGGUUGCUUGUUACUACUCAGAAUGCCAUCUACAAAAGGAAAUUAUGUAAAAAGCAAUAAAGAACCCCUUUUGUUCUUGCAGGAGUCAGUGUUUCAUAACUCUUUCUGUGAUAUCGUCUGUAUAAGUUGAACCUCUAAAGAACCUUAUCUAAGUUGCCACGACCUUACUCAUUACCCUCAAGAAAGAUGAACAAUUUAAAGGGGGAAAAAAGGAAGUGAAAAAAAUGGCGGAUACGAGGCAGAACUAACCUGCAGCUUCCACUCGAAGGGACAGAGCAGAGUGUGGAGACCCACAACUGGAACUUUUUCUCCAAGAACUACCACAGGAACAUACCAAGAAAGCCAAGAGAAUCCACAGAACCUUUGGAGGAAGUGGUUUGUCACUGCAGGCUCUGUGGGACAGCUGAGGAACUGCCAGCGUCCUCUUUCCUGUGUUGGUCACAUCCUCAAAUGCCUUUGGGGCUGGAUGAACAGUCGGCUUGUGGGUUUUCAUGGUGAUUUCAACUAAUAUGUGGAAGGGAAGGAGGGGAAGAGGAAAGACUCGGUGAUGGCUACAGCAGGCAAACCAUAUGCCACCGCAUGGGCCUGAGGACAAUCUCGGACGUCUUGCAAACAAUCACCCACACAAGUGUCCUGAUGAGUGGCGACCUUCUCAGCGAGGACUGACAACCACACGGGUUCCUACUUCAUGACCAGACCAGGGUCACCAUGGAGACAUUUCUCAUUGGAUCAGCUUAUUAUGCCAUAGGAAACAUCUGAUUGAAAUGGAACUCACUGACCUAAAGCUCCUAAAAAAAAAUUUUCUAGGUCAGUGACAGACAAGUUGGCUGCUUCAAAAAAGCCAUGUAAAUGAGCUGAAGUCUGCACAGGUGGAGCCCAUUAGAGUGAAUGAUUUCCCUCUCAUGUUGUUAUCUUCAUUUGCCGUUGUCUUAUCAACUCCAAGUAGGAAAUCCGCUGUCAUGAAAAGCAGGUCCUGAAAACUCAAGACAAUGGAACAAUGCCAAGCAGUAAGAUAUGGAUACAAUGAGUAAAAUCUAAAGAUUGGUUCCUUUAAGACAAAGGGAUCAACAUGUAAUAACUUGGAAAUAUAUAGCAAAGAGAGAGCCAAAGACGUCUUCUAGCCCUGCACUUUGCCUCCUACUAGAACCAGUGGGAAGAUGCUCCAGGAAGUUAGCAGAGUCAGUUACAGUUAACUGCAGCUCAGUGUAAGGAAGAAACUCAACAGUGGAGUCAUUUUGAGAGGGAAUAGGUUAUUCUGAAAAGUAGGGAGUUUCCCUUCCCUAUGGGAGUUGAAUCCAAGGUUGGAUCUUUUUU
rnacentral:lncRNA from 1 species